rnacentral:rRNA from 1 species
UGGGGAAUUUUGCGCAAUGGGCGAAAGCCUGACGCAGCGACGCCGCGUGAGGGAUGAAGGUCCUAGGAUUGUAAACCACUGUCAGGAAGCAUUAAAUGCACGGGUAUCAACACCACCCGUGCUUGACUUAACUUCCAGAGGAAGCCCCGGCUAACUACGUGCCAGCAGCCGCGGUAAUACGUAGGGGGCAAGCGUUACUCGGAUUUAUUGGGCGUAAAGAGAAUUAAGGCGGUCAUGUAAGUCAGUGGUGAAAUCCCCCGGCUCAA